AAAACACCAGGACGCCCCAGACGGGACGUGAAAAGUGGACAUGUCCGGGCAAAAGAGGACGUUUGGUCAGCCUAAAUACUUUUGUCCGACGUGAAACUGCGACGCCAUUAGCCGCUGUGGAUCCACUGCGGAGGAAGCUACUGCGGAGGACGCUACUGCUAACUAAUGUGUCAAGGCCAAAUGAGGUGGAAGCUCUGCUUUGUUCACACUCCUCUCCUGAACAAAUGAGAUAACAGCGACGAAACCAACACGAUUCAGCACUCAGGAUUUCACCUUCAAGGGCCGCUGCAAGCAUCCAAAUAUUCACAUGCAGUCUGCCAGAAGUGAGUAA